rnacentral:rRNA from 1 species
UACGAAGGGGGCUAGCGUUGCUCGGAAUUACUGGGCGUAAAGCGCACGUAGGCGGUUUGGUAAGUCGGGUGUGGAAUCUCCACGCUCAACGUGGAGGGGCCACUCGAUACUGCCAUGACUCGAGUCCGGUAGAGGAGUGUGGAAUUCCCGGUGUAGCGGUGAAAUGCGCAGAUAUCGGGAGGAACACCCGUAGCGAAGGCGGCACUCUGGGCCGGAACUGACGCUGAGGAGCGAAAGCCAGGGGAGCAAACGGG